AUUGAACGCUGGCGGCAGGCUUAACACAUGCAAGUCGAACGGACUACUUCGGUAGUUAGUGGCGAACGGGUGAGUAAUGCCUAGGAAUCUGCCGUUUAAUGGGGGAUAACGUUCUGAAAGGAACGCUAAUACCGCAUACGCCCUACGGGGGAAAGCAGGGGAUCUUCGGACCUUGCGUUAAACGAUGAGCCUAGGUCGGAUUAGCUAGUUGGUGGGGUAAAGGCUCACCAAGGCGACGAUCUGUAGCGGGUCUGAGAGGAUGAUCCGCCACACUGGAACUGAGACACGGUCCAGACUCCUACGGGAGGCAGCAGUGGGGAAUAUUGGACAAUGGGCGAAAGUCUGAUCCAGCCAUGCCGCGUGUGUGAAGAAGGCCUUUUGGUUGUAAAGCACUUUAAGCGAGGAGGAGGGAACCUGGGCUAAUAUCCUAAAGUGUCGGACGUUACUCGCAGAAUAAGCACCGGCUAACUCUGUGCCAGCCGCCGCGGUAACAC
rnacentral:rRNA from 1 species